rfam:Chryseobacterium gallinarum strain DSM 27622, complete genome.
UAGGGGAUUGCCGAAAACCCUGUAACAGAUUAGGCA